CCUACGGGAGGCUGCAGUGAGGAAUAUUGGUCAAUGGGCGAGAGCCUGAACCAGCCAAGUCGCGUGAAGGAGGACGGCCCGACGGGUUGUAAACUUCGUUUGUCAGGGAGCAAAUGAGGCCACGUGUGGGCUUAGCGAGAGUACCUGAAGAAAAAGCAGCGGCCAACCCGUUGCCAGCAGCCGCGGUAAUACGGAGGAUGCGAGCGUGAGCAGGAUUUAUUGGGUUAAAAGGGUGCGUAGGCGGAAUAUCAAGUCAGCGGUAAAAAUUCGGGCCUCCACCCCGUCGUGCCGUUGAUACUGCUGUUCUUGAGUGGGCGAGAAGUAUGCGGAAUGCGUGGUGUAGCGGUGAAAUGCAUAGAUAUCACGCAGAACUCCGAUUGCGAAGGCAGCCUACCGGCGCCCAACUGACGCUGAAGCACGAAAGCGUGGGUAUCGAACAGGAUUAGAUACCCUUGUAGUC
rnacentral:rRNA from 1 species